UUGACGCGCAUGAAUGGAUUAACGAGAUUCCCUCUGUCCCCAUCUACAUUCUGGUGAUCCCACACACAAGGGAACGGACUUGCAUGAACACAGCGGGGAAAGAAGACCCUGUUGAGCUUGACUCUAGUCUGAAUUUGUACGGAGACAUCGGAGGUGCAGCAUAAGUGGGAGGCGUGCGCAAGUGCGUCGACACAUGAGAUACCACUACUCCCUUCGUCUCCGUACUCUACUCGGUUUACGGGAGAGCAAAAUCGAAUGCUUAAUGGACAAUUGGGUGUGGUGAGGCUUCUCCCCGGUAUGGGAUAGUUUUGGUUAUGAGACUCGACUGGGGAGGACAGAUACAUCAAACAAAUGAAUGCAGGUGUGCUCCAAAGUGGCGAAACAUCCGAGCAAGGCAUAGUAUCUUGAGAUGAGCAAGAUGAUGCUUUAGGCUAGGGAAACAUUCGCACGUUCAGUUGCUGCUGAAGAUGUACGGACGGCGAAGAUGCUGGUGACUAACGGGCCGUUUGACAUUGCCGGCAGGCAAGGGAUGAAAAACAGGAGCAGAAAUCCACUCGCCCACCCAUCAGCGGCCAAACGAUG
rnacentral:rRNA from 1 species